rnacentral:rRNA from 2 species
UGGCGAACUGGUGAGUAACACGUGGGAAACCUGCCCAGAAGCGGGGGAUAACACCUGGAAACAGAUGCUAAUACCGCAAACAACUUGGACCGCAGGUCCGAGCUUGAAAGAUGGCUUCGGCUAUCACUUUUGGAUGGUCCCGCGGCGUAUUAGCUAGAUGGUGGGGUAACGGCUCACCAUGGCAAUGAUACGUAGCCGACCUGAGAGGGUAAUCGGCCACAUUGGGACUGAGACACGGCCCAAACUCCUACGGGAGGCAGCAGUAGGGAAUCUUCCACAAUGGACGAAAGUCUGAUGGAGCAACGCCGCGUGAGUGAAGAAGGGUUUCGGCUCGUAAAACUCUGUUGUUAAAGAAGAACAUAUCUGAGAGUAACUGUUCAGGUAUUGACGGUAUUUAACCAGAAAGCCACGGCUAACUACGUGCCAGCAGCCGCGGUAAUACGUAGGUGGCAAGCGUUGUCCGG